UGGGGAAUUUUGGACAAUGGGCGAAAGCCUGAUCCAGCAAUGCCGCGUGAGUGAAGAAGGCCUUCGGGUUGUAAAGCUCUUUUGUCAGGGAAGAAACGGUGAGAGCUAAUAUCUCUUGCUAAUGACGGUACCUGAAGAAUAAGCACCGGCUAACUACGUGCCAGCAGCCGCGGUAAUACGUAGGGUGCAAGCGUUAAUCGGAAUUACUGGGCGUAAAGCGUGCGCAGGCGGUUUUGUAAGUCUGAUGUGAAAUCCCCGGGCUCAACCUGGGAAUUGCAUUGGAGACUGCAAGGCUAGAAUCUGGCAGAGGGGGGUAGAAUUCCACGUGUAGCAGUGAAAUGCGUAGAUAUGUGGAGGAACACCGAUGGCGAAGGCAGCCCCCUGGGUCAAGAUUGACGCUCAUGCACGAAAGCGUGGGGAGCAAACAGGAUUAGAUACCCCAGUAGUCCCUGAGCGGGCUGGCAAGGCGCAU
rnacentral:rRNA from 1 species